UAAUCGAUAGAUUUUGACGAGAGCUGAC
rnacentral:piRNA from 1 species